rnacentral:rRNA from 1 species
CGCGAAGAACCUUACCUGGUCUUGACAUCCACAGAACUUUCCAGAGAUGGAUUGGUGCCUUCGGGAACUGUGAGACAGGUGCUGCAUGGCUGUCGUCAGCUCGUGUUGUGAAAUGUUGGGUUAAGUCCCGCAACGAGCGCAACCCUUAUCCUUUGUUGCCAGCGGUUAGGCCGGGAACUCAAAGGAGACUGCCAGUGAUAAACUGGAGGAAGGUGGGGAUGACGUCAAGUCAUCAUGGCCCUUACGACCAGGGCUACACACGUGCUACAAUGGCGCAUACAAAGAGAAGCGACCUCGCGAGAGCAAGCGGACCUCAUAAAGUGCGUCGUAGUCCGGAUUGGAGUCUGCAACUCGACUCCAUGAAGUCGGAAUCGCUAGUAAUCGUAGAUCAGAAUGCUACGGUGAAUACGUUCCCGGGCCUUGUACACACCGCCCGUCACANCCAUGGGAGUGGGUUGCAAAAGAAGUAGGUAGCUUAA